GUCUGAAACGACUCUCGGCAACGGAUAUCUCGGCUCUCGCAUCGAURAAGAACGUAGCGAAAUGCGAUACUUGGUGUGAAUUGCAGAAUCCNGUGAACC
rnacentral:rRNA from 1 species